UACGAAGGGGGCUAGCGUUGUUCGGAAUUACUGGGCGUAAAGCGCGCGCAGGCGGUUCUUCGAGUCAGAGGUGAAAGCCCAGGGCUCAACCCUGGAAUGGCCUUUGAGACUAGAGAACUAGGGUAUGGGAGAGGUGAGUGGAACUGCGAGUGUAGAGGUGAAAUUCGUAGAUAUUCGCAAGAACACCAGUGGCGAAGGCGGCUCACUGGCCCAUAACUGACGCUGAGGCACGAAAGCGUGGGGAGCAAACAGG
rnacentral:rRNA from 1 species